GGGUCAGUAGGUUGGUCGUGCCACCGGUACGUACUGGUCUCACUGAUUCCUCCUUCCUGAAGAACCGUAAUGCCAUUAAUUUGGUGUUGCGGGGAAACAAGACUGUUACUUUGAAAAAAUUAGAGUGUUUAAAGCAAGCUAACGCUUGAAUACAUUAGCAUGGAAUAAUGAAAUAGGACGAUCGAUCCUAUUUUGUUGGUUUCCAGGAUUGACGUA
rnacentral:rRNA from 1 species